UUCAGCAGCCGUGUCACCUAGCAACUCACAACUUGCGGCCCACUGAAGCUAAGCAGGUGUGAGCCUGGUCGGUACCUGGAUGGGAGACCUCCAGGGAAAAACUAACGUUGCUGCUGGAA
rnacentral:rRNA from 1 species